GUCUUGAUUCGGAAGGGUGAAAUCAGAGUAUAUAUAUAUACGUAUAUAUAUACUCUGAUUUCACCCUUCCGAAUCAAGAC